ensembl:lncRNA
GUGGUUUUUAACUGACAUAUUCUGAGAAGUAUUAUCACUAAUAGGCAACAUUUAUUAAGCAUUUUGCUAUGUGCCAACCGCAGCCAAGUGCUUUGCAGGCAUCUUCUCGUUCAGUCCUCUUAGAAAAGAAACUAUGAAAUUGGUGGUGUCAUUUCUGAUACCUGAUAUAUGAGGAAAGAGAGGCUCAGAGAGCUGGAGGAACCUGCCUAAGAACACCCAGAGGUGGUCUGGUGGCCUCCGUCGAUUGAAGGUGUCAAUCGGAAAAUUCACUCAGCUUCAGUUCUCUUUUUAAUUUACUUGCCUGUGUUGGGUCUGCAGCUCGUGGGGUCUCCCUUGUCACGUGGGAUCUUUCAUUGUGGCAGGCGGCUUAGUUACUCCAAAGCAUAUGGGAGUUCAGUUCCCCAACCAGGGAUCCAACCCGAGUUCCCUGCAUGGCAAGGUGGCUCUUCACCACUGGGCCACCAGGGAAGUCUCUCAGCUUCAAUUCUUGAUACUGAAGUUACUUUUUGAAGUCUGAAGCCCACCUGGUGCCAGGCAGGGUUACACCUUCCCAGGCGGACAGGCCUCACCCACUGGGCUCCUGAAGUAGACACCUGUCCCCAGGGCUCCUUGGAAGAUUCGACCCCGGAGGCUGUGGCUUGCCGGGGUGGGGGCUUGCGGCCAGGAGUUCGGAGGGCCACCACCUGCUUCCUGGGUGUCAGGCCUCACAGAAAAGCCCUGGCUGCACUGCCCUCCCUCAGCAGGGAGCAGGUGCCGAGAUUCUUCAGGGCAAGAAUAAAAAUGAACCAUCUUCUAGCACCUUCUAUGUAUUUCUAUGCAUUAAAACAGGCUCUGUCUGAAGAAUUUUACCUGCAUCAACUCACUAAUUCUCCCAACAAACCCAUGAGCAAAGAAACAGUAAGCAGCAGGGCCAUGAUGCGAACCCGAGACGCUGAACUCCAAAAGGCAGGUGCUUAUCCGCACUGCCGUAUUACAAGUGUCUUGUGUUGACAGCUGUGUUCCCCGCACUCUGGUCUGAGCGAGGUACUAUGUGAUUUAGGAACAAAUGCACGAAGAAAUGAAUGAGUCUGUGGUUAUGCUGCCACCCGAGUCCACCCCACAGCACCAGGGCCAAGCCCCUUUGCAAGCAGAAAUUCUGGCUGGAAAACUAAUUCUCACCUGCCCCACCAGGUGACCAAGACCCAUGCGAUCCAUCCACCUCUACCUGGCUGGGGAAGAAACAGGCACCAAACUCUCAGUUUCGGCCCACGUCACGACAGGACUGGAGCGGUCACAGCCACCUCUUCCCAUAAAGUCCUUCAGCGGGAGGAAUAACAACUUGAGUCUCCACACAGUAGGCUCCAGGGGCCGGGGACUGCGCCCAUGUGAAGGUGGGGAGAUGGAGCCCCCGGCAGGACAGCCACACCUGGACUUGACCCUGGGCUUUCCAGACGACAGAACACGCUGCAUGCAGAGUUCGGACAGGAGGGGAAAUGUGCUGGGGGCGGGGGUGACUUUCCUGCAGCAGCAGCUGGAACUCAAACCCUGUCCUGACUCCAAACCCAGGGCUGUGCCACUGCUCAGCCGUGAUGCCCCGACUGAACCAGACCAGACCGAGGCAUGGUCUCCAGGGAGGGGACCAAGUAUGACAGAGUCUGUACACCUCACGUGGGACCCCUGUCUGGGGCCCAUUCUGGCCCAGAG